GACGAACGCUGGCGGCGUGCUUAACACAUGCAAGUCGAACGGAAAGGCCCCUUUGGGGGUACUCGAGUGGCGAACGGGUGAGUAACACGUGCGUAACCUGCCCUUGACUUCGGGAUAACUUCAGUAAACUGGGGCUAAUACCGGAUAGGAAUCCUUGCUGCAUGGUGGGGGUUGGAAAGCUUCGGCGGUUUUGGAUGGACUCGCGGCUUAUCAGCUUGUUGGUGGGGUAGUGGCUUACCAAGGCUUUGACGGGUAGCCGGCCUGAGAGGGCGACCGGCCACAUUGGGACUGGGAUACGGCCCAGACUCCUACGGGAGGCAGCAGUGGGGAAUAUUGCACAAUGGGCGGGAGCCUGAUGCAGCAACGCCGCGUGCGGGAUGACGGCCUUCGGGUUGUAAACCGGUUUCAGCAGGGGCGAAGCUUGUGGUGACGGUACCUGCAGAAGAAGCACCGGCUAACUACGUG
rnacentral:rRNA from 1 species